GGGCCCGCACAAGCGGUGGAGCAUGUGGUUUAAUUCGAUGAUACGCGAGGAACCUUACCAAGGCUUAAAUGUAAUACGACCGAUUGAGAAAUCAAUCUUUUUUCGAACGGAUUACAAGGUGCUGCAUGGUUGUCGUCAGCUCGUGCCGUGAGGUGUCGGGUUAAGUCCCAUAACGAGCGCAACCCCUAUUUUUAGUUGCCAGCGGGUAAUGCCGGGGACUCUAGAGAGACUGCCGGUGUCAAACCGGAGGAAGGUGGGGAUGACGUCAAGUCCUCAUGGCCUUUAUGUCUAGGGCUGCACACGUCCUACAAUGGUACGGACAAACGGACGCUAAACCGCGAGGUGGAGCAAAUCCUAAAAACCGUGCCCCAGUUCGGAUUGCAGGCUGCAACCCGCCUGCAUGAAGCCGGAAUCGCUAGUAAUCGC
rnacentral:rRNA from 1 species